ensembl:misc_RNA Gm24011 predicted gene, 24011
AGAUGUGACGGCUCUUUGGCUGCGACAUCUGUCACACCAUUGUGCACACCAGGGUUGAUUCAUCUGAUCUGGCUGGUUAGGUGGGGGUCCCCUUCCUCCUUCAUUUCUUAAUCUGUGCCCCCCCAAGCUGUUCACUCUGUCCUAGAGAACAGCAGUCCUGGAUAAAGGAGGAUUGUUCUUGGGCCCAGGGUAUGGAUGUGGUGGAACCUCAAAAAAACAAAAACAAAAACAAAAAACCGAGCUCUCCAAUGACAAAAUGUGAUAUUU